UUAAAAUGAGUUUCUUGAAGACAUAAGAUCUUAGGGCAUGUUUCAUUUAUUAGAAGUUUUAAUUGUUCUAAAUGGGUAUAGAACCCAUUGAUAUUCCACUGUAAUAUAUAGGGGUUAGACAUUUUCGAGUUCUGACUGAGAAUGUGUUUCAUCGGUCUCUUCUGUGGAAGAGAAAUUAUUGGGGCUUAGUUUCUUUCUUAAUCGAGUUAUAUUAUUUUUUAAUUUUGAAUUGUGGGUAUAGGCGUGAACAAAAUUAAGGAUCUGAAUUAAUUCGGCUGUUUCGUUCGAAUAGUUUUUUGAGGUUAUUCCGGGAUGUUUUGCGUUUAAUGUAUUUUCGAGAAAGUCACAUAUUUCGUCGAAGUUAAGGACAAAUGGUGGUGAUCUGUUUGCGAUUUUGUCUUUAAUUGUCUCUAGGGAAAGUAAAAGUUCAUCUCGAGAAUUUCUUUUAGACGUUUUUGUUUUUUUCUUUGAUUUCCUUGUUACUGGAGAAGUGAAGAUAUGAGAAUCGGACUGUGUGGUAUUUUCGUUGAUUUCUGGAGACGAUGAGAUGAGCCUUUUUGGAUGUUUUGUGACGUUUGGAAUAAUUUUAGGUUGUGUUAUUUCUAAUGGAGUAAGAUUGCUGAUCUUGUUGGAAGUUGAUGAUGUUGGGAUUUUUAAAG
rnacentral:lncRNA from 1 species